rnacentral:rRNA from 1 species
CAGCACCUCAAGUGGUCAGGAUGAUUAUUGGGCCUAAAGCAUCCGUAGCCGGCUCUGUAAGUUUUCGGUUAAAUCUGUACGCUCAACGUACAGGCUGCCGGGAAUACUGCAGAGCUAGGGAGUGGGAGAGGUAGACGGUACUCGGUAGGAAGGGGUAAAAUCCUUUGAUCUAUUGAUGACCACCUGUGGCGAAGGCGGUCUACCAGAACACGUCCGACGGUGAGAGAUGAAAGCUGGGGGAGCAAACCGGAUUAGAGACCCGAGUAGUCC